GACGAACGCUGGCGGCGUGCCUAAUACAUGCAAGUAGAACGCUGAAGGAGGAGCUUGCUUCUCUGGAUGAGUUGCGAACGGGUGAGUAACGCGUAGGUAACCUGCCUGGUAGCGGGGGAUAACUAUUGGAAACGAUAGCUAAUACCGCAUAAUAUUGACUAUUGCAUGAUAGUCAGUUGAAAGGUGCAACUGCACCACUACCAGAUGGUCCUGCGUUGUAUUAGCUAGUUGGUGGGGUAACGGCUCACCAAGGCGACGAUACAUAGCCGACCUGAGAGGGUGAUCGGCCACACUGGGACUGAGACACGGCCCAGACUCCUACGGGAGGCAGCAGUAGGGAAUCUUCGGCAAUAGACGGAAGUCUGACCGAGCAACGCCGCGUGAGUGAAGAAGGUUUUCGGAUCGUAAAGCUCUGUUGUAAGAGAAGAACGAGUGUGAGAGUGGAAAGCUCACACUGUGACGGUAUCUUACCAGAAAGGGACGGCUAACUACGUG
rnacentral:rRNA from 1 species